rnacentral:tmRNA from 1 species
UGCUUCUUUGAGUGUGGAUUUCUUUUGUUUUUGUGUUAUUAUUCUACUCAAGCUGUAUAUCUGGUUAACUGAAGGUUUUCUGGACGCGGGUUCGAGUCCCGCCGUCUCCACCAACAGGAUAUUUGCAAUAGAGUAUCUUGUUGAUGGGGACGCCAAGGUUUCGACAGGGAAAGAUAGGAAGACUGGCAGCCGGUAGGCGAUGACCGUAAAUCAAGCAAAACUCUUAAAUGCAAAUGACGAAAGUUACGCAUUAGCCGC